rnacentral:rRNA from 1 species
GGCCUACGGGAGGCAGCAGUGAGGAAUAUUGGUCAAUGGGCGAGAGCCUGAACCAGCCAAGUCGCGUGAAGGAUGACGGCCCUAUGGGUUGUAAACUUCUUUUGUCAGGGAGCAAUUGGGUCCACGCGCGGGCUUAGCGAGAGUACCUGAAGAAAAAGCAUCGGCUAACUCCGUGCCAGCAGCCGCGGUAAUACGGAGGAUGCGAGCGUUAUCCGGAUUUAUUGGGUUUAAAGGGUGCGUAGGCGGUCCGUUAAGUCAGCGGUAAAAUUGCGGGGCUCAACCCCGGCGAGCCGUUGAAACUGGCA